rnacentral:snRNA from 1 species
AUUUUUACACAGGCAGGGGAGAUGCCAUGAUCAUGAAGAUGUUUUCCCACCCAGGGUGAGGCUUAUCCAUUUCAGGAUAAGCCCUGAAUGUAACCCCUGCAAAUUUCCAGAUAUGAAGAUUGUCAGCCCUAAUGAGCAUGUGUAAGCACAGCAACUAA